UUCAUUCCAAAUAUGAGAAUUGAUAUAAAAAAGAAAAAAAUCAAUUAAAUUGAAUUAUUGUAAAAUUCUAAUUUUCAAGCAAAGGGUAUGUGAAAUUCAUUUCCUGAAAUUUACUGCUUUCAAGUUAUAUAUACUUGUUUGUUUCUGUAAUCAACAGUCAACCAGACUUGGGAUGGAUGAGAAGAUUACAACAGAUACUUGGUCGGAAACACCAGCGGAACCUGCAUGUAUGUGAAAACAGUUGCUUUGUCCAAUUUGGAAAUAUUUGUAUGCAUUCUUAUUUUUGAAAUCGUCAUAUGCAGGCAAUAC
rnacentral:misc_RNA from 1 species